rnacentral:lncRNA from 1 species
UGAAAUAGAAGUGGUAUUGGUUCGAUUGUUGGGGUUCAAUCGGCCGUAGCCCUUCAUCUAUAUAAAGGGGAGGUCUGGAUCCGCUUCCAACUGAUUUCCGAGUUAAUCCCGCGGUUUUAGGUAACAAAUCCCGCGAGAAACUAGGAACCCUAACUGACUCUGCGCACGCGCGGACCGUCCGCGCCAUCACCGCGGACUAUCCGUGCUGCUCUUUUUGGUCUCCAGCAGAUGUAGAUAUUGGAGCACCAAAUUGAGAAUUAGAAUCAUCUUUCCUGAAUUCUGUUGUUUGGCUGCAAAUGGAAUUAAUGAUUGAAAUCAGAGAUCUAAUUUCCUAGAAUUAAACUAUAACUAGAAACUCACUCUCUCAAUUCAGAAUAUCACACCUCUGUAUUGGGUGGAAUCAGACCGAAUAAUUACAAACUUCAAUUCAGUGGCAUUCAAACAAUAAAAUUGCAAUUUUAUAUCAUUGCAGUAACAUGUCUGAUUUGGUAUUUAGCCCAAUUCAAUUCUAUAUCCUCUAAUAUCAACGUACAAACGGAGAAUUAAGAAAAUGAGGUUUUUCCCAAACUAGCCAUUAAUAUUAAAAAAAAGAAUCAUAUUUUAAAGACCAACGAUCACGCUGCACAAUGCCUGAGAUGAGGGGACAAUAUAUAAUCGAACCUGUAAUCCUUCAGACCGCUGCAGAGCAUCCACGACAGGCUCUGUGGAUGAAAGCAAGUGAUCACUGCCACAUCCGGCCAUCAGCAGCUCUUUUCCAGGAGCACCAUCACAGCCCAGAACGACACCUGCAAAUUCCAAAGCCAGCUCCGCUGAUAAGAUAUGAGAAAACAGCACCAUCAAUACGCAGGCUAAAACGACGAGAAAACAAACCGGCUUUCGCUUCGGAUCAAAGUGUAUAAUCAGUAAGUCAAGUGAAUAGAUCGAAAAUGAGAAGAAAACGCAUUGGCCAAGACGCAUAUUGCCGCAACAAAAAUGCUGGUUCGGUUUCCACCGAUCAGAAUGCAGACAUAGGAAUAAAGAAAAGUAUGUGUGCACGUAUGAGAACCAGAACCACUCAGGAUCCAGGGCACUCGUCCCUCCUGGAAGGAGCUAUAUGAGAGGAGAACGACCGAAUAAGAAUAGAGGGGAAGGGGGAGCGAGAGGCGGGAGCCGUAC